ACUCAAAUGAAUUGACGGGGGCCCGCACAAGCGGUGGAGCAUGUGGUUCAAUUCGACGCAACGCGAAGAACCUUACCUGGGCUCGAAAUGUAGGAGAUUGGGGUAGAAAUAUCCCUUUCCGCAAGGACUGCUACAUAGGUGCUGCAUGGCUGUCGUCAGCUCGUGUCGUGAGAUGUUGGGUUAAGUCCCGCAACGAGCGCAACCCUUAUCCCUAGUUGCCAUCGGGUCAAGCCGGGCACUCUAGUGAAACCGCACAGGAUAACUGUGAGGAAGGUGGGGAUGACGUCAAGUCCUCAUGGCCUUUAUGUCCAGGGCUACACACGUGCUACAAUGCGCGGUACAAAACGUCGCAAACCCGUGAGGGGGAGCUAAUCGGAAAAAGCCGCGCUCAGUUCGGAUUGGAGUCUGCAACCCGACUCCAUGAAGCUGGAAUCGCUAGUAAUCGCGGAUCAGAACGCCGCGGUGAAUACGUUCCCGGGCCUUGUACACACCGCCCGU
rnacentral:rRNA from 1 species